rnacentral:rRNA from 1 species
GACGAACGCUGGCGGCGUGCUUAACACAUGCAAGUCGAACGGAAAGGCCUCUUUCGGGGGGUACUCGAGUGGCGAACGGGUGAGUAACACGUGGGUAACCUGCCCUUGACUUUGGGAUAACUUCAGUAAACUGGGGCUAAUACCGGAUAGGAGCUCCUGCUGCCUGGUGGGGGUUGGAAAGUUUCGGCGGUUGGGGAUGGACUCGCGGCUUAUCAGCUUGUUGGUGGGGUAGUGGCUUACCAAGGCUUUGACGGGUAGCCGGCCUGAGAGGGUGACCGGCCACAUUGGGACUGAGAGACGGCCCAGACUCCUACGGGAGGCAGCAGUGGGGAAGAUUGCACAAUGGGUGGAAGCCUGAUGCAGCAACGCCGUGUGCGGGAUGACGGCCUUCGGGUUGUAAACCGCAUUCGCUCAUGACGAAGCUUUGUGUGACGGUAGUGGGUAAAGAAGCACCGGCUAACUACGUG